rnacentral:rRNA from 1 species
UCGAGGGUGUGCAGUUGCGGUGGUGCCGAACCUAGCCUGGUGCGCUCUAACCGCGAAAGGGGAUUGGGGGAGAGGCUAGACACCGGCGCCCCUCUGAGCAGAGCUAAGGGAACAGACUAAGGGUUGUAGCGGCGAGGUCUAGGCGCGGCUAAAGAACGAGCGGCUAGAACGGUCUCAGACGGCGGACUUUGAAGACAUCGGGCAGCUCAAGCAGCGGUUGGCUCCCCGUGUGGCCUCGUUGGUCGGCGACGGCUCGGCUUCGAGGACCCGUCGGCAGCACGUGCAGAAGUAGCGGCAGCGUGUCCUGUGGGGGCAGCAGCAAAGCCAGUGGCGAUGGAGGCGGCGAGUUUCGGCGUAGGCGGGCGGGGAAGUGGGAGCGGCCUCCUAGCGGCCUCUCAGCGGCAGUGGCUAGGGGCUGGGCGGCGGCGAAGGGGACGAAGACUCUAACGAGCCUCGUACUGCUCAUCUUAAUAGUCCUUAACACUCACGCUGUUUGAAGUAGUUUGUAUGUCUAAAAUAUACUGCUCACUCACUAUGCUACAUCCCAAUGCUACGGAUAUGAGCUGUAAACGUAUACCAUAACUACCUGAAGUACCUCUAAAAUAAACGAAAAGACAACGUAAAACAAACAUACGAUCGAACUCGAUACGUCCAUACACAUAAUAAAUUCAUGACCUAGAUGCUACAUUAUGAUACUGUACACCAAAUAAAAAUAUAAUGUAGAACAUAACACACACGAUCGAUAACUAGAUCCCUGAUCGUGUUACUCGUGUCUCUGUAGCUUAGAAUAGUCCAAGCCCAGCAGUGUACAGCAACAAACCACGAACUAGCCAACCUCGCUCUUCUUCAGGCUGUGUAGUUGGCGCAACAGUUUGCGAAAGCGAAAGCCAGAUGCUCCCAUGCAUCUGUGUGAGGGGGAGAGAGUAACGAUACGUAGAGGAUCUAUCUAGAACGUACUCGCAUCCUUAAAAAAAAUUUAACGUACGAUGCAAAGGGUUGUCACCGUAGUUUCGGUCCAAAUACGCAUGUACUAUACGUGCUCAUCUUGUGUUUCUCAACACACGCCACUAGCAGUAUGAUGAAUGGUGGUUACAGAAUAAAACUAAGCCGCCAUAACAACCUACUUCGCCGGGUAUGGUUGGAAUGUACUAGUGCAAGUACUCUGGCCAAGGUGUCUGUUUGUAGGUUGAUUAAAACGUAUUUCCACCGACCACCCACAAACAAAGAGGAUGAAUUCAACUUAGCUUAAACUGACGCCGGAAUAUGCAGAGGUUGCAUAGAUAUUAAAAAAUAACAAGGUACGAUAAUAUAAUAGGUAGAACCUACAAAAUAUACGUAAUUGUACGAUAAAAUAUACUAAAAACCCUGAUUGGAUAAUUGGCUCUCGGGUCACGUUCAAAGACAAAAAAGGAACAGAAACUCAAAAUGUCUUUUCCUUAUGGUUUGCCUCAGGUUAACUGUUCGGUUAAAUGCCUCUAAAAAAUACCUGGUCUUCUUCUGGGGCUUCGUUAUCACAGCCCGGUCUUCUCAGGGCUCGGUUGGUGCUCCCACCUCCCGCGCGGGAUGGGGGAUCCGCGCGGGGGAGGAGCACCGACUGAGUCUCUGGGGGGGACUGCACUUUGGCUACGGUUUUUAAGGAUAUUUAUGUUUUGGGGCUUUUCUUUGGAUCUAGCCCUCAAGGCGGCGACGUUCGGAGGCAUCGGUGGUUUUUGGUUACCCCUGGGACAAGGCCGUGGGAUGGCUUCCCCCCCCCUAAGUAGUGACCACCGGUAGAAGUAGUAGGGCCACGAGAGGUACUGCUCCUCCCUCAUCAAGUGGGAGCCUGGACUCCCAUACAUGAUCAUUGAUACACAAACUAGAGAGAGAGAGACAAGAACUAUACUGUGCUAGAACUACAACCCCUUGCAUUAUUAAAGUUUUUUUUAAGGAUACAUGUGC